rnacentral:rRNA from 1 species
UAACACGUACUCCAUGAGUGGUAUCCACUUAUAUUGGGCCUAAAACGUCCGUAGCUUGCCCGAAAAGUCCUCGGUGAAAGCAGCAGGCUUAACUUGCUGAAUUGCCAAGGAUACUAUCGGGCUAGAGGCCGGGAGAGGUCAAGGGAAUUUCAGGGGUAGCGGUGAAAUGUUAUGAUCCUUGAAAGACCACCAGUAGCGAAGGCGCUUGACCAGAACGGUCCUGACAGUGAGGGACGAAAGCUGGGGGAGCGACCCGGAUUAGAUACCCGGUUAGUCCCAGCCGUAAACGAUGUGGACUUGGUGUCCUAGCACUUACUAAGGUGCAGGGGUGCCGUAGGGAAGCCGUUAAGUCCACUGCCAGGGAAGUACGCUCGCAAGGGUG